rnacentral:rRNA from 1 species
UACGUAGGGUGCAAGCGUUGUCCGGAAUUAUUGGGCGUAAAGAGCUCGUAGGCGGUUUGUCGCGUCUGCUGUGAAAUCCCGAGGCUCAACCUCGGGCCUGCAGUGGGUACGGGCAGACUAGAGUGCGGUAGGGGAGAUUGGAACUCCUGGUGUAGCGGUGGAAUGCGCAGAUAUCAGGAAGAACACCGAUGGCGAAGGCAGAUCUCUGGGCCGUAACUGACGCUGAGGAUCGAAAUCAUGGGGAGCUAACAGG